GUAAUCGGCCACCAUUUCACCCGUGGAUUGAGGGAGGGUUUCUGUGGACAAGGUGUCCCCUGCUGUUUGCUCAAUAGUGACACCCCUGGGCACAGUGGGCACAGCUCACUUCCCUACAGACGGGCUACAGUGUGUCUGGGGCUGCUGUGUGCUCUCUUAUUGGCUGCCACAGUAGUCCUGUGUGUCCUCUAUACAAGUCUAUCAAAGAAGUAUUCAGUGUUGGAGAGAGAUCUGGAGGAAGU